UACGUAGGGUGCAAGCGUUGUCCGGAAUUAUUGGGCGUAAAGAGCUCGUAGGCGGUCUGUCACGUCGGCUGUGAAAACCCGAGGCUCAACCUCGGGCCUGCAGUCGAUACGGGCAAACCAGAGUACUGCAGGGGAGACUGGAAUUCCUGGUGUAGCGGUGAAAUGCGCAGAUAUCAGGAGGAACACCGGUGGCGAAGGCGGGUCUCUGGGCAGUAACUGACGCUGAGGAGCGAAAGCGUGGGGAGCGAACAGG
rnacentral:rRNA from 1 species